rnacentral:rRNA from 1 species
UGGGGAAUCUUCGGCAAUGGACGAAAGUCUGACCGAGCAACGCCGCGUGAGCGAAGAAGGUUUUCGGAUCGUAAAACUCUGUUGUUAGAGAAGAACAAGGACGUUAGUAACUGAACGUCCCCUGACGGUAUCUAACCAGAAAGCCACGGCUAACUACGUGCCAGCAGCCGCGGUAAUACGUAGGUGGCAAGCGUUGUCCGGAUUUAUUGGGCGUAAAGCGAGCGCAGGCGGUUUCUUAAGUCUGAUGUGAAAGCCCCCGGCUCAACCGGGGAGGGUCAUUGGAAACUGGGAGACUUGAGUGCAGAAGAGGAGAGUGGAAUUCCAUGUGUAGCGGUGAAAUGCGUAGAUAUAUGGAGGAACACCAGUGGCGAAGGCGGCUCUCUGGUCUGUAACUGACGCUGAGGCUCGAAAGCGUGGGGAGCAAACAGG